rnacentral:misc_RNA from 1 species
CUUUUAACAUACUCUAUUAUUUUUCUCCUCAAAGAAAAAAAGAACUUGAGCAAACAUGAUGAGAAGUCAACAGGAUCAACAAUCAAAGCUUCUUUAUGAGCUUUCUACUUUGAUUUUCAAUAUCCUCCGAUCUCCAACUACGCCCUUUGAGUUUUCCGAUCAGUCACCGGUUAUCCAACGCAGUACACAGUUGCCGACUGUGAGGCCGAUGCAGCAGAUUACUCCUGCCGGCUUUGCUUCCUUGCUUCUCGGUAUUUCUAUGGCUUUGAUGCUAUGUGGAUCUGUAACCUUCUUCAUUGGAUUUUUCAUGAUGCCUUGGAUUAUUGUGUUCGUUAUGCUUUUGUAUCUAGCUGGAAUUGUUUCUGUUUUGUCAAUGAUUGGACGAGCGAUUUUCUGCCCUAUGUCUUCAUCACAAUCGCAUAGUCAACCGUGUAAAAUAUUGUGAAACAAUUUAAACAAUUGUACUGGCACAGAACAACGGUGAGGAGUAUGGUCGUACUCUUUACUAGAUGCAGUUUCCUGCAAUGUUUAAAGAGUGUAUGGAGGAUGAAUACAUUGCAUGCUGGUGUUUGUUGCUGGAGGACACAGCUUAGGCAUUUGAAAGUGAAAAUAUUUGAUUAGCUACAACUUUACUGUAUAGAAAGACACAAAAUGGAUGUGCCAUGUUAUUUUAUCUUAGUGCAACUAUGUUGUAUUUCUUGUGCCAUUACACAUGUAGAAACAACACCCCACCCCCACCACGUCCCGAGUGAUAUUGCAACUACAAUCAAAGCUUGAUUAGUAUUUCCCUGAUAUAUGAUCAUGCCCAUUGGAACAAUAUUUGAACUUGAAAACUCACUAUCUGCUAUUGCAU